GGAGCAGCGAGGGGAGCGGGGCGCCCCCAGCCACACUGCUGGUACAGGAACGCACAAUUUCAGCACUUGGGAAGUAUGAUAUGGAUCAAUGAAAAUGUCCUCGGAGCUUAUGAUAACAGCCUUGCUCAGCAUCUUCUCUCUUGAAAGAAGCCCGAGGGACAGAAAGACUCGCGUUUGUGCAAGAAGAAGGAUUUUCCAAAAGGGCUGUUCCCCUCCCUGGGAGAAAAAAAAAAAAAAAAUGCCUUUAGAGGAGCCUCCAGGGGCCCAGCAAGAGCUGCUCAUGCCUGGACGUGGAAAUCCCUAUUUUAUGAGGUAGAUUGGGAGGGAACAAUCUCACUCCGGAGCUUCCCAUCAAGACCAAUUUGCAUAAUUAACACCAAAAUUAGUCUUUGCUCUGUCAUAACCAUUAAGACGGCUCACAAAGAGCCUGGCAAGGGCAGGGCUUUGUGCGGUGCCAGCCGGGCCCACAGGUCUGGGGCUGUGGGACGGAUCCGGGUCCCCAGCGCAGAGCCACCGAAGGCACAGCCAGCCCCAAGCCUGGCCAGAGCCUCAGCAGCGCUGAGCGCAGCGAUAAUAGCAGUUAGACUUGAUUCUGCUUGGAAAAUCCACUUUAAUCAGCCCUUCUUGGCUUAGCGUUGUAAUCUGAGCAGUGCCGGGGCGCAAAGCUGCUGCUUCUCCACCACCAAGUCCUGCUGGUUUUUCAGCUGGGCUCCGUUUUAAAAGGGCCUCCCACCCGCAGCGAUUGUGCUCGGAGACGAGUAAUUACGAAAAGGGACUUUGGUGCCAAAGCAC